UUGAAAGGGAAACGAUUGAAGUCAGUCAUGCUGGUGGGAAUCAACUUAGGGGAAACUCUGGGUGCACUUCUUCGCUUGGCAGGUCAACGUCGAUUUUGAAUGUCAUAAAAUAAUUGGGGGAAGGUAGCUCCUUCGGGAGUGUUAUAGCCCUUGAUAGAUGUGAUGUUUGAGGUCGAGGAUUGCAACGGAUACCCUUUGGGGCUAGCUGCCUGAUCUCUAAUUGGUGUUGGGUUACGGAUAGCAUGCUGACCGUGAUCUAAUUACUGGUUAAAAGGUUAGAGUGUGCAUAAAUUCGUUAAGGAUGUUGACGUA
rnacentral:rRNA from 1 species